AGUGAACGCUGGCGGUAGGCCUAACACAUGCAAGUCGAACGGCAGCACAGUAAGAGCUUGCUCUUACGGGUGGCGAGUGGCGGACGGGUGAGGAAUACAUCGGAAUUUACUUUUUCGUGGGGGAUAACGUAGGGAAACUUACGCUAAUACCGCAUACGACCUAGGGGUGAAAGCAGGGGAUCUUCGGACCUUGCGCGAUUGAAUGAGCCGAGGUCGGAUUAGCUAGUUGGCGGGGUAAAGGCCCACCAAGGCGACGAUCCGUAGCUGGUCUGAGAGGAUGAUCAGCCACACUGGAACUGAGACACGGUCCAGACUCCUACGGGAGGCAGCAGUGGGGAAUAUUGGACAAUGGGCGCAAGCCUGAUCCAGCCAUACCGCGUGGGUGAAGAAGGCCUUCGGGUUGUAAAGCCCUUUUGUUGGGAAAGAAAAGCAGCAGGUUAAUACCCCGCUGUUCUGACGGUACCCAAAGAAUAAGCACCGGCUAACUUCGUG
rnacentral:rRNA from 1 species